AACGAACGCUGGCGGCAUGCCUAACACAUGCAAGUCGAACGAGACCUUCGGGUCUAGUGGCGGCACGGGUGCGUAACACGUGGGAAUCUGCCCUUCGGUUCGGAAUAACUGAGAGAAAUUUCAGCUAAUACCGGAUGAUGACGAAAGUCCAAAGAUUUAUCGCCGAAGGAUGAGCCCGCGUAGGAUUAGGUAGUUGGUGGGGUAAUGGCCUACCAAGCCGACGAUCCUUAGCUGGUCUGAGAGGAUGAUCAGCCACACUGGGACUGAGACACGGCCCAGACUCCUACGGGAGGCAGCAGUGGGGAAUAUUGGACAAUGGGCGAAAGCCUGAUCCAGCAAUGCCGCGUGAGUGAUGAAGGCCUUAGGGUUGUAAAGCUCUUUUACCAGGGAUGAUAAUGACAGUACCUGGAGAAUAAGCUCCGGCUAACUCCGUG
rnacentral:rRNA from 1 species